AUUGAACGCUGGCGGCAGGCCUAACACAUGCAAGUCGAGCGGUUGACGGGAGCUUGCUCCCUGAUUCAGCGGCGGACGGGUGAGUAAUGCCUAGGAAUCUGCCUAUUAGUGGGGGACAACGUUUCGAAAGGGACGCUAAUACCGCAUACGUCCUACGGGAGAAAGCAGGGGACCUUCGGGCCUUGCGCUAAUAGAUGAGCCUAGGUCGGAUUAGCUUGUUGGUGAGGUAAUGGCUCACCAAGGCGACGAUCCGUAACUGGUCUGAGAGGAUGAUCAGUCACACUGGAACUGAGACACGGUCCAGACUCCUACGGGAGGCAGCAGUGGGGAAUAUUGGGCAAUGGGCGAAAGCCUGAUCCAGCCAUGCCGCGUGUGUGAAGAAGGUCUUCGGAUUGUAAAGCACUUUAAGUUGGGAGGAAGGGUUGUAGACUAAUACUCUGCAAUUUUGACGUUACCGACAGAAUAAGCACCGGCUAACUCUGUGCCAGCAGCCGCGGUAAGAC
rnacentral:rRNA from 1 species